GUGCCCGCACAAGCAGCGGAGCGUGUGGUUUAAUUCGAUGCAACACGAAGAACCUUACCAGGGUUUGACAUGUAAGAAGUAGUGAACCGAAAGGGGAACGACCUGUUAAAUCAGGAGCUUACACAGGUGCUGCAUGGCUGUCGUCAGCUCGUGCCGUGAGGUGUCGGGUUAAGUCCCAUAACGAGCGCAACCCCUGUUGCCAGUUGUUUUCUCUGGCGAGACUGCCCCGCACAACGGGGAGGAAGGCGGGGAUGACGUCAAGUCAGUAUGGCCUUUAUGCCCUGGGCUACACACACGCUACAAUGGACGGUACAAUGGGUUGCAAUGGAGCGAUUCGGAGCUAAUCCUUAAAAACCGUCCUCAGUUCGGAUUGCAGGCUGAAAUUCGCCUGCAUGAAGUUGGAGUUGCUAGUAACCGUGCAUCAGCUUGGCACGGUGAAUACGUUCUCGGGCAUU
rnacentral:rRNA from 1 species